UGUCUGGCCUGGGUUGGCUCUGACAAGUCAAGACCAUCGUCUUCAGCCUCCCAACUUGGCCCAGAUGGGGCAUCAGGCCUGCCAGCCACUUUGUGCCCUGCGGGCCCAGGCUUAGCUUCCAGUGGGAAAAUUCUGGGCUCCUGACCACCCCCCACCCCCAAUCCCCCACCAGCUGCACAGCCUGGCCAGAUGGGAUUACGAUGCCAGAUAUUUGAGUUUUCCCCUGCAAAUUUGGGGAAUGCUCAUUCUUUGGCGUCUCCUCUUGGAAGCCAGUCGUUAAUGCUGUAAGAAGCCAUGCCUCCUGAAGAGUCUAUAAGAUGAUAACUUGCUGCUCAACAUCUGCACUGAACUCCCAACUGACCAGCAGUGUCAAUCACCAUAUGAAUGUGCCACCUGGGAUGUUCCAGCCCAGUAGAAGCCUCAGAAUACUGCAGCUGACAUCAUGUAGAGCAGAGAACUCCAUGGUCAACCACAGUUUUGUCAGAAAUAAUGAGUCAUUGUCGUGAGCUGCUAAA